UUGUUCACCUGGGCUUUACCACUAAAAAAAAUAAAAAUAAAAAAAUAGCUGAGCUCAUGGACAAAGGAACGCAGGCAGGUCAAUGUGACAAGGCCAGGAAUUGCCGCUUCCUGGUUAUAUGCGCCAGCAGUUUGUUCUCACUGUGGACUUAAAUUUUGGAGGGGGCCUGAACUGGGUCUGCAUACCCCAAACUUGCUCUGGUAAGCAUUGCUGUCACUCCUGUCCCUCUGGACCUAUGCUGGAAGAACUCUUCCUUUGUGGAUGCUGGGGACUCUGUGGAAAACCGUCAGCAGCCGGGGAAUUUCCUUCUGUUCUCAUCUCUUCUUCCAGGAUGCUCAUCUGAUGAGCAGGGUACUGCAAAUGGCACAGAAGACACUUCUCUCUGGCAGGAAGAAAAAUGGCAUUUUCAUGUAUGACUUCCCCAAAGGGAAUUUUCACACAGCAUGGGAGAAAUACUCCUUCCUGUGGCCCACACCUCAGAGACUUCAUGGACCAAGUAACUGCACACAAGAAAGCUCUGCCUGGGGAGACAGCCUCCGUGUUAAUCCUGUGUCUUCAAGAGAGAAAGUCUAAGCCCAAAGAGCUGUUGUCAAGGUAAUUUCCUUCUUGAGAGUCCUUCCUCUAAAGUCAGCCUCCCUCCCUUGCACUGUCCAGUUGUAAUGAAAGACUCUCUACAGCCUAAAGAUUAUCACCCAAUCCACAGUUUGGGGGAUGUACAGUAGACUUCUGUAGGUUUGUUAAAUCACUGUGUUCCAGUAUCCAAUGCCCCAUUUGCUACUGACGCUUAACCCAGAAGAAACUUUUUUUUUUCCUCAAAGGAAAUGGUUCCUGAGGAGCUUACAACUAUUUAACAAGAAUCAAACAUAGCCUAAAGUUUAAACAAAAUGGUAGGGGAAAAUAAGGUAAACUUUGCAGAACUGAGGACUUUUCUAUUCUUCCUGGUUAGAAUUUAUCUGAUAAGAUGCUUUCUGAAAAUAAAAAUUUGGUUCCUCAAUGCUGACCUACACCUCUUAGGGCCAGGACAUCUAGUAAUGAAUGAGAUCUAGAUAAAAUGGGUUCUAAAAAUGUAAUUAUUAAUUAAAUACCACGUAAUGAUUAUGUUCUCUUACAAAGAGCCCUUUUCUUUUAGAGAGUCAUCCUAAAAUUCUUAUAGAUAGGGAUUUGCUUAAAAGUAAUCUGUAUGUGACAUGAAGGGAAUAGGUACAGGUACAGAUAAGAGAUUGAAAGGGAGUUGGAUUUGGGUGACAGGUACAUGAAUGUUCAUUACCUCACUCAUCCUACUUUUGCAUAUUUUUUCCAUCAUAAAAAGAAAAAAAUAAUAUCAUGUAAUGGUUCUUGUGAACAUAAUUAUUCUCCUCAAAGAUAGAUCAUCCAAAAGUUCAUAGCAACUGUACAUUAUACUUACUACUUACCUACUUGUCCCCUAGGUCUUCAUUUAGCAAGCAAUGUUGACAAAAAGUAUUAAUGACUUUUUGAAGAGAAGCUCCAGGGAAUUCAGUUUGAUAAGCCAAGUGGAGAAGAAUCUAUUCCAUACCUACCUGUCUUCUAAGAAAGAUCUGUCUCCCUCUUGGAUCAAGAGACUUACAUGUUCAAAGCUAGGAAAAAAAAAUAAAAAAGAGGAUAGAAUGUGAACAGAACUCAGUUUUUAUUACUCUUUCUGAGCUCUGGAGUCGAAGCCCUGUCAACAGAUGUUUAUAGGAUUUACUUAAUUAGAAUUUUCUUGAAAAUUCCAGUAAGUGCAUUUCAAAUGCUCUUAUUUUGCAAAAUACCAGAUUACUGAGUUCAAUUACAAUCUCAUCCAGGAAAACAGCACUCCCAAAUGUACUGAUUUUUUUUUUUUUUUAGAGUUGGCCUUUGCCAUAGCACAGUUCCCAGAUAUAUUAUGCUUAUUUUCCAAACAGGUCAGCAGUUAUGGCUUAAAUAACAAUGUAGGAGCCAUAACUGUUAGAGCAUUAACUGUUAGUACAAUUUUAGAUAUUGGUAGAAAAAUAGAGAGGAUAUAGUUUAUUCAUUAAUCAACUAUUUAUGAGGAAUUAUGAUCUGUUAUAUGCUCAGACUCUAGAACCAGACUGUGUGGUUGCAUCUCAUUUUUUUUUUUUUUUUUUCCUGCUGGUGUGGCCUUGGGCAAGUUGUGAAACUUUUCUGUCUCACUUUUCCCCAGCUCUGUCAUAGUGGACUGAUUAAGUUAAUAUUCAUGAAGACUCUAGAACACUAUUAGCUUUUGCACUCAUGGAGUAUGUUGUUAGACCUCAAUUCUAGAAUUUGAUGCUGGAAAAAAGAUGAUAAAGUCUAGUCCUAUCCUCUUACUUUAUAGGAGGAGGUUUUAAAAAGUACUGAUGUCCAGUCUCUAUUGUCAGGGAUUUGGAGUCUGGGGUAGAGCCCUCAGGUGACUCUACCAUGCCACAGG
rnacentral:lncRNA from 1 species